rnacentral:rRNA from 1 species
UACGGGGGGGGCAAGCGUUGUUCGGAAUUACUGGGCGUAAAGGGCGUGUAGGCGGCCAACUAAGUCCGACGUGAAAUCCCCAGGCUUAACCUGGGAACUGCGUCGGAUACUGGAUGGCUUGAAUCCGGGAGAGGGAUGCAGAAUUCCAGGUGUAGCGGUGAAAUGCGUAGAUAUCUGGAGGAAUACCGGUGGCGAAGGCGGCAUCCUGGACCGGCAUUGACGCUGAAGCGCGAAAGCUAGGGGAGCAAACAGG